rnacentral:lncRNA from 1 species
UAUAAUUGUUUGGGGAAACUUCAAAAACCCUCUGGUUUCGCACUUUCUCACUUUAGUAUCCUGUGAUUUAAAGUGUAUCAAGUUAGUAUCCUGUGGUUUCGCACUUUUUCACUUUAGUACCCUGUGGUUUAAAGUGUAUCAAGUUAGUACUCUGUGGUUUCAUUUUUGUAUUAAGUUAGUACCAUGUGGUUUCAAUUUUCUCUUUUUAUUAUCCAUUCGGGGUAUAUAAUUUAACGAAAUAUUAAACCACAGGGUAUUAAAGUGAGAAAAUGCGAAACCAUAUAAUACUAACUUGAUACACUUUAAAACAUAUGAUACUAAAAUAAGAAAGUACGAAAUCAAAGGGUACUAACUUGAUACACUUUAAACCAAACCACAGCGUACAAAAGUGAGAAAAGACCGAAACCACGUGGGGUUUUUUUUGAAG